ensembl:lncRNA
CAUGUGACAUGGGCUUGUCCUAGAGAACAAGGAGCUGGGACUCCCCAGCUCUCCAAAUUCUCACCAAAUAAGAAGGCUGACCUUCAUUUCCUACAAGUACCUGUUGCCAAUCCAGUCCAGAAGAUGAACUAGUCUCACAACACUUCUAGGACCUUCUUCUGCACCCUUACAUCCAAGUCGCACCUCAAUGCAAUGCAGCCUCAAAGUCUUACACAACGUGUCUGGGCAAACCAAGAACCCAAACACCCAGCAGUGAGUCGCUUGUGAAGGUGAGCCUGUUGGCAGUCACAUGAUUCUCCAGCUACACCUUCCAGCUUUGCUUUAUCAAGGAAGCCAGAUCUGGGACACAGUUUCAAGAGAACAACUCCACCAAGUUGAGAACUCCAGCCAACAAAAGCCACAUGUGUAGCUCAGAUGUCCUAGAUUAAGUUGCCAACAAAAUCAGUAACAGGAAAAGAAGCCUUGCUGUAACAAUGCUGUUCUUUCUAAAGAAGAGGGCUGCCACCUGUUGCUUUGGAGUAUCACAGGGACCUGAACUUCCUAUGAAUAUUAUGAUUAUUAGAAGGAUGCAAAUGAGUAGAAGAUACAUCCUAAAGACACAUCCUAAAGAUGCAUCAGCAUAACUGGUUAAAUAAAUUAUGGCAGUC